GACAGAGGAGCCAAGCGUUGUCCGGAUUGACUGGGCGUAAAGCGCACGCAGGCGGCCCGGCGCGUGGGGUGUGAAAGCUGGCGGCUUAACUGCCAGAUGCCAUCCCAUACGGCUGGGCUCGAGCCCUGCAGACGGUCCAUGGAAUUGCCGGUGUAGUGGUGAAAUGCGUAGAGAUCGGGCAGGAACACCCAGGGGGAAACCAGUGGACUGGGC
rnacentral:rRNA from 1 species